UUCAGAUACUCCCUCUUUGCUCAUGUGUUCCAAGUUACUGCCAGGCAAGGCAACGAUAACAAACAACAAGAUUCUUAACGUUUUGACUUUACUCGACUUUUAUAGAUCACCUAUAAUGUUAUCCAGGAACUUUCUGAAGAAAUAUUAGGAUACAUGAAACGUUUAUUUGUUUGAACUUAAUUCCGUGUUGAUAUUGAAGUAGAUGUUUGAUUGCUCUGGUCUAGGGACGCAUCAUUUGCAGCCUUGGGAAUCUAAUUUUCUCUCCGCAACUCCCUAGUCAUUAUCUCUACACUACAACAAAGUAGUCUAACUGUACUGUAGCCAACAAUAUUUCAUUCCAUACAAAGAAAUAAUAGCUUCCACAAUGGAUCGGGACAAAUCUAGGCCGUUCCCCUUCACCCUCCAGGAGUCCCCAGGUCUAAUGUCUCCCUGUACUUUACUGCUGGGUCUGGUUGCCUGCAGGAAAACACCAGGGCAGAGUGGAACUGAGAGAGGAGAAGAGAAGAGGAAUAUGGAGAUGUGAUUUCAUUAAGGGGCAGCCCAAAUCGUUGCUCUCUCAGUGGAAGGGGCUUAUCAUCUGGGGAGCCUCAACAACAUCAUGAUGCUGACAAGAAAGAGAAGAGUCUCUCCAAAUCAGAACACCUCAAGAAACAACAGCAUAGAGGUAUACGGAAGAAACCUCACCACUGCUGCUUUGACUGUGGGAAGAGUUUUGCUAAACAGAAGGAAUUGAUGAUUCAUGAGCAUAUUCACAAUGGAGAGAAACCAUACCACUGUUCUCAGAGUGGUAAGAGUUUUGUUGCAUUUAAAAUCUUAAAAUCUAAUCAGAGAAUUCAUACAAGGGAGAGGACUUACACCUGCUUUGAUUGUGGGAAAUACUUCAGUCGAUCAGGAGACCUGACUGCACACCAACGCAUACACACAGGAGUGAAGCCUUAUAGCUGUGAUCAAUGUGGGAAGAGUUUCAAUCAUUCAGGAUCCCUGACUAAACACCAAUGCAUACACACAGGAGUUAAGCCUUAUAGCUGUGAUCAAUGUGGGAAGAGCUUUGCUCUAUCCGGAAACCUGACUACACACCAACGCAUACACACAGGAGAGAAGCCUUAUAGCUGUGAUCAGUGUGGAAAGAGUUUUGCUCUAGAUUUCAAUCUGACAACACACCAGCGAAUACACACUGGAGAGAAACCUUACUCCUGUCUAUGUGGAAAGAGCUUUGCUCAUUCAGGGUCACUGAAAAACCACCAGAAAACAAACAUGUCAUCUUUCAUCUCCCUUCUCUCCGGCGCCAGUUCCAGAUCCCUAAAUAAAGUUUACAUAGAAAACAUCUUGUAAAGAGUCAUCCAUCUCCCAUUCUCUAACACUUUACUAAGUCUGAUUACCAUGGUAACCUGUGUAGCAUAAUAUGCAUCUCUGGAUCCAUGUGUAUCAAGUGGCUUGGAGUAGGAGUGUUCAGAGCUGUAUCUUAUUUCUAUAUCUCCUAUUAUCCAUUAAAUAACUUUAAUGAAGAAUGUUUCAACAAUACAAGGUGUGUAUUCAUUUAUUCAAUAGAAAAAUAAAUUACAUCCAUUAU